CUUAAGCUGCUCAGAGCGGGUGAGAGAUUGUCGAGUGGAGCAAACUAACAGAGUUAGUGGGUGUGUGAGGAGGAAUGGAGCCAGCGGAGUCGGCAGGGAGGCUUCAUAAAGACACAGUGCAGGCUGCAGACCCCAAAUAACAAGGUACCGGUCUUGUGUUUGCAGAGAACAGGCUGGAAAAGUCUGGAUUUCUCCCUUCGCCAGGCCCGGGGUAACGGCCGCCAUCUUUAUAGGGGGCAAUGUGCAGCAGGGCGCAUGCGCGGCCAUCCUGGUCCAGGUAGCAGGAGGAGAGAAUAUUGUGAAUUUCUAUCCUGGACUGACAGGGAUGGAUUUUGGAAACUCCUUUUACAGGGGGUUAGAAGGGGAGAAGUUACACUCAGCAAAAUCAAACCAAGAGAAAUGUUUGCCCUGACUGACAAUGAUGGAUUUUGGAAACUCCUUUUCCCUGAAGGGGAGGAUUUACAGACAGGAAGUCAAGACCAACAUCACAUUUAGAUCUGACAGAGUUACUCGAUUCAUCAGGACCUGGAUCAUCUUUUUCUAAUGCUCUGUAUAAACCAUUUCCCAAACAUGUCACUUCACUGUCAGCCCAGGAUAGAAAUUCAGGACCUGGAUAUUAUCGGCCUCUGAUUGUAAUCAUUUAGUUCCAGGUCAUUACCACUCUCUGUGUAAAAUUUCCACCUCACAUCCCCCCGACAGAUCUUGACCAAAAUCUUUCAUCUGUGUCCCGUAAUAAUUUUACAAUCAGUUAAUGGGAACAGCUUUUCGGCAUCUACCUGAUCUAAACCUAUCAUAAAUUUGUAUGUGUUUAUCAAAUCUCCCUCAAUCUCUUUUGCUCGAAGGAGAACCAAACCUUGUAGCUCAUAUCCCCCAUCCAUCGACCCAUUCUGGUAAACCCCCUCUGUACCCUCUCAAGGACCCUCACAUCCUUCAUAAUGUGUGGUGAUCACUGGUUUGCACAGACCCAGAUGUUCUGUGUCUGUGUGUGUGACAUCAUCACACAUCGACAAUUAUACGGUGACAUCACCCCACUCCCCAGGUAUUUCCACAACUGGGAGAUUUUGCUCUGACUCCAGUGCUUCUGAUAUCUUUCCAGCUGCAGGAUCCAGCAGGAUUUUUAAAAUUGAACUUGGAAAUUUUUUCACAGAUAGGAGCUUAUAUUGUAAAUCCCCAGUUGCCUGUGGAGAAGAUGAUGUUUGACCUUCUUGAACCGCUGCAGUCCGUGUGGUGAAGGUGCUCCCACAAUGCUGUUAGGGCAUGAGAAGGGGAGGAUUUGCAGUCGGGAAACUGAAACUAAACAUCACAUCAGGAUCUGACAGAAUUUCCCAGUCUAUCGUGAGCUGAAGAUCAUCGGAUUUCGAACAUGGAAGGAAAAAGCACCGUUCACACUGGGGAGAAGGCAUGGAAAUGUGGGGAUUGUAGGAAGGAAUUUAACUAUCCAUCUCAGCUGGAAACUCAUCGGCGCACUCACACUGGAGAGAGACCAUUCACCUGUGCCAUGUGUGGGAAGGGAUUCACUCAUGCAUCCAGCCUGCUAACACACCAGCGAGUUCACACAGGGGAGAGACCAU